AGGUGCUCCAAGCAUUUGAGGCCGAUGGAGCGCAGCGCCGGCAGACGCAGCAGCAGCUUGGCGAACCUGAGGUAAGUUUUGGGGUGAAAAAGUACAAGUUUGGGUCAUUUUGGGGUUUUGGGGGGGAGAUGAGGGGCUUUGGGGGGAUUCUGGGGUGAGACUUUGGGGUAUGGGGUUCAAUUUGGGGGGAUUUUGGGGUGAGACUUUGGGGUUUUGGGUCAAUCUGGGGGGCUUUGGAGGCAUCGGGGUGAACCUGAGGUAAGUUUUGGGGUGAAAAAGCACAAUUUUGGGUCAUUUUUGGGGUCAUUUUGGGGUUUUUUGGGGGGAGAUGAGGGGCUUUAGGGAAAUUUUGGGGUGAGACUUUGGGGUUUUGGGUCAAUCUGGGGGGCUUUGGAGGUAUUGGGGUGAACCUGAAGCAAGUUUUGGGGUGAAAAAGUACAAGUUUGGGUCAUUUCUGGGGUCAUUUGGGAUUUUGGGGUCCAACAUCGGGAUUUUGGGGGGGAUUGGAGCAAAUCUAUGGCACUUUUGGGGUGAAAAAGCCCAAUUUGGGGUUUUCUGGGGUUCUUUUGGGAGGGACGGGGGGUUUAGGGGGGAUUUGGGUUGAAGCUUUGGGGUUUGGGGUCAAUUUUGGGGUUUUAUGGUCAAAUUUAGAGAUUUGGGGUCCCACGUUGGGAUUUUGGGGAGGAUUGGGGCGAAUCUACGGCACUUUUGGGGCGAAAAAGCCCAAUUUGGGGUCGUUUGGGUGUUCUUUUUGGGAAGCGGGGGGUUUAGGGGGGAUUUUGGGGUGAAACUUUGGGGUUUGGGGUCAAAUUGGGGUUCUUCCUGAAACAUCAGUGGGGUCAGCCUUUGGGACUUUGGGGUCCAACAUUGGGAUUUUGGGUGUAUUGGGGCGAAUCUAUGUCAUUUUUGGGGCGGAAAAGCCCAAUUUGGGGUCGUUUUGGGGUUCUUUUUGGGAAGCGGGGGGUUUAGGGGGGAUUUUGGGGUGAAACUUUGGGGUUUGGGGUCAAUUUUGGGGUUUUCUGGGCAGAGUGGGGUCAACCUUUGGGAUUUUGGGGUCCAACAUUGGGAUUUUGGGGUGGAUUGGAGCAAAUCUCUGUCAUUUUUGGGGCGGAAAAGCCCAUUUUGGGGUCGUUU
ensembl:lncRNA